AUUGAACGCUGGCGGCAGGCCUAACACAUGCAAGUCGAACGGUAACAGGAAGAAGCUUGCUUCUUUGCUGACGAGUGGCGGACGGGUGAGUAAUGUCUGGGAAACUGCCUGAUGGAGGGGGAUAACUACUGGAAACGGUAGCUAAUACCGCAUAACGUCGCAAGACCAAAGAGGGGGACCUUCGGGCCUCUUGCCAUCGGAUGUGCCCAGAUGGGAUUAGCUAGUAGGUGGGGUAACGGCUCACCUAGGCGACGAUCCCUAGCUGGUCUGAGAGGAUGACCAGCCACACUGGAACUGAGACACGGUCCAGACUCCUACGGGAGGCAGCAGUGGGGAAUAUUGCACAAUGGGCGCAAGCCUGAUGCAGCCAUGCCGCGUGUAUGAAGAAGGCCUUCGGGUUGUAAAGUACUUUCAGCGGGGAGGAAGAGAGUAAAGUUAAUACCUUUGCUUAUUGACGUUACCCGCAGAAGAAGCACCGGCUAACUCCGUG
rnacentral:rRNA from 1 species